rnacentral:lncRNA from 1 species
AAUAAAUAAAUAAAACAAUAGUCUGUUAUAGAAUCAUGAAAAAUUUGGUUUCAUCUUUACUAGUAAAGUAAUGAUAACUUCAGAACUAAUUGAGAUUUUCCAUUGCACAGUAACUCUGCAUCUGCGGCGAUUAUAUUCUUAAGUAUGUUUAGGCACUCCAAAGAAUCUUUUCCUUGGUGAUGAACAUUAGCACUAAAAGUUGUUCUACUUGUUUACCCUUCCAGGUGUCCAAGCUUCUGCUGUUGCUUCCGACUCCAGUGGAGCCCCGGAUCUUCAGCAUGCUCUCUCUCUUCUGUCAAGCAACCCAGUGGGUGCUGCCAACCUCCAGCCAAGUCCCCAGAUGCACUCUGGGGUGGCAGCCAUUGCCGGCGCCCCCAACCCCGCGAUGCACGCGCUGGGAUCAUCGACGGGGCUCUGGCUAGACGGCAGCCAGCCCCUCGAUGAUCACCCGCGGUUCCAGGUCUUCGAGCGCUUGGGGGACCAUGACAGCGAGCUCCAGCUCCCAAAGCCUUCCUACGACCAUGCCUCGCACUUCGACCGGAUGCACUGAUGAUGGCUCCGGUCCACUGGGUGCGUGAUUUUGUCACGCGAUCAACGCCGUUUCUUCGGCCUGAAAAUCGUAAUGCUGAAUUUACUUUGCUUUGACGCCGUUGCCUGUCUAGAGGCCUAUGGUUUUGGCAAUGCCUAGAAUAAAGGCGCACACGAACAGACUUAGGAUCAAAUCGACCCAGUUGUGUUGCCAUGGAGAAAGAUUUUGAUCCAUCAUUAGCCAUUUGUCUGAAUAAUUCUGAACUUGCUAUGUUUCUGAAUGGCUUCUCCAACUGUAACUGAUCAUGGUUUUAAAUUCUUGAUGAUGACAUCGCACGGCCGUAGCGGUGGUGCCAGCCAUUGCAAGAGGACCGGCAAUGGGUGGGACACAGAUCCAAUGACCGCGGCAUAACCUGGCCAGGCACUGUGCAUCGCCCCGUAGCGCCGGGCACUGUUCAUGCUCUGUCGUGUGGGUGCCGUUACCGUUCCUGUCGAUCCGUCCGUUGAUUUUAAAUCGGACGAGGGGGGCAUGCCACCAUUACUGUCCCUAAAGCCUAAGGCAGUAGGUCUAAAAACAUGAGCACAGGAGACUGCAGGCAUCAGGUGAAAAAUGAACUGCAGGUUUGGAAGAAAAAAAAGAACAUGCACAUAAGCAUCUUGGUAUCAUCUUUUCAGGGACUUCUUAUAUUCCAUAAUUAUACACCAAUCAUUUGUUUAGACUCUGAUAGUGUACAAUAAUAUUGCAAGUACAGUUCCUUCCUCUGCCUACCAUUUUUCUGCCUUGAGAAGGUAUGUACGUACCAGUAUGUAUGGAUUUUCAGUUGCAGAUAGUGUGACCUGCACUGCUGCGCUUCUGACUCGGAUCAGCAGCUAGGCAUCGCCAUGUCCCUCUGGCGAUCCGCUGCCCAGGACGCGGCAGCGGUACUCUCCAAGCGCCCAGAUAGGGAAGAUGUUCCGAUACUGGGAGUAGGUGAUGGCGCAGUUCCUGGCAAAGAUGCCGAUGAUCUCCUGUGGCACAAAAUUCCAACAGCGAUGAACAAACAAACGCAGACAGAACAGCAACUGAAUGCAGGAUUGCCGGUUAAUCAGUGUCUGGAAUCUAAGCAGCAGGCGGUUUUGACAGUGAUUUUCAUGAGAGUGCCCUUACAAGAAAAGAAAGUGCCACUGCUCGGUUCGUGGAAUACUUACUUGCUGAGGGAACUCUCCAUCCUCUAGUUGUAGGUUGAUCAAGACCUUCGCUGCCCGGUGCAGAGGCCCUGGGUCUCUCUCGGCCUGCUCCAACGGAAAUUGAAAUGCAGAUACCAAUGAGCACGGCGAAUACCUCAAUGAACAAUGUCAAAUCAAGGAGAAAGGGAAAAUAAAACACAAAGAACCUGCCCAGCAUCAAUUAGGGCCAGCAUGGCCCAACUGGUGUUGACUACAUGGGGGCGCCUUCCUUCAAGUUCAGUGUAAACCUAUUUGCAGAAAUUUAAGAAAGAAUGUUCAGAUCAGAGAAAUUCUCUUUUGCAUAAAAAAAAUCAGAAGAAUGCAUGCAUGUUUGGUUUUUUUGCUUUACUGGUUGAUUGAUAUUUUGAAGCAUAAUUUGUUUUGCUGAGGAAUUGAAGACAAACUCUUAGGACGAACAGGACAAUCCUUUUGUAUCAUAUAUUAUAAAACAACCAGCUCAUGAUUGUAUACGAAUGAAUAAUUAAUUUUUAUCUCAAGCUAGUGUCCCUCGUGUGUUACUUCUUAUACAUCAAGAUCCGCAUAUGAUAUUUCUCCCUUCUAAGAAGUAGAGGCCAUCAUGUAGAGGCCCUUCUUAUUGGUUGUUAACAGAUCUCAACAUGACUGCUAAGUCUGAGCUAACAGUAAACUUGGGCUUCAUACUUAUGAUCAAUAUAGGACCGAUCUGUUUCCAGGUUGAAUCGCUGCAUACGGACAUCCAUCAAUAGGCAUUACCUCCUAGGAAGAAAUGAAUGUACCUUAUCCCUGCAUGACAAAUAGCUUUCUCCCCAGCCACCAGAAGGAACCUCUUUCGACAACAAGAAGCCGCAUGCCUUCCUGAUAGCCGGACAGUUCUUGAAUGUCCUUCCAGCAGCGACCAAUCCCCUCACUGCAGACCACGCCCCAUGGGUGAAACAAAUACCCCAGGAGCCAUACCUGUUGCGAAUAGAGAGAGCAAUGAGCAAUAACAGCAGCAGCUUCUGUGUUUGAGUGGAAACACCAAAAGCACGAACAACAGUAGCAGCAGAUAUAUUCUCUUAUUCCGAAAUGGAGUUUUUCAACACUAACCAUGAGCCGUCACUCCUUUGAAUACUCAGAAUGAAGUUAUCGGCUUUAUGGAUGCAUUUGUCAAUCUCCUCCCUUCGAUGCUCAGGGUAGUGCUUUCUGAAUGCAACCAGGGCCUGGAUCACUGCCGAAGUACAUUCAACAACACUGCCAGUCGAGUUUAAUCACAUCUCAGUUCAGUUUCUCUUAAACACGACAAAUCAGCAUAAUAACAAGAAUAGGGUUGUCACAUCUUACGGAUGAUCAAUCAUUAUGUCCCCAAAGAUCUCAGAAGGAUUGAGAAACUGAACAGUUUUAAAAGCAUGUCAAAUUGCAAAACACUAUUUACAAAGGGCUGAAUGUGUAGAGUCCUCAUUACAGUUGUAACUCACCUCCAGCCAGGCAUAAGACCUGGUGAGUUCAUAUGAUGCAAAGCCACCAUUUCCGUUCUGUAAAAAACGGUUUAUCCGACAAUAAUUAGUUCCACCCAAUUUAAACAAGCAUAUUGUUCGAGAAAAUUUAAACAAACAUAUAUGCAAAAAAAAUUCAUAGAUAAAUCUGUAAGAGCAUAGAGCAUAAGUGAACUAUUGACUCCGUCGAGUAGCUUUAGAGGUUUGAAAAGGGGAUAUGCAUACCAUCCAAGAAAGCAGACAAUUGACAGCAUCAUAAAGUCUAUUGGCUUCUAUUGGUACGCCAACCAUUUCCGGAGAAAUCUUUGACAACAACAAUGAGGCCUGAUGAAAGAAAAGAAGGAAUUUCAUAAAUUGUGAAGACCACAACAUCACAAAAGAAUAUACUACAACUUGAGAGUUAUUAUGGUUAGUGGCCUGAUGAAUGGACUCUUUUCUGUUAAUAUUAUUUUCAAGCGAAAAAGGUUAAAUACAUAUGAAAGUUAGUGGUCAAAAUUCUAAAAGUUUGUCUGCAUAGACUAAUGGGCGAUAUAAAUUUUGGAAUGGUGGCAAUACCUUUAAUCCUACUGCAGUGCAAUCUGAUACAGGCCAAGCAUGAUCAGCGGUUGAAAAGGUCCAUGCACCUUUAGAUAUAUGACGAUACCAGUCACUCAAAUCUCCAUGGCAGUCGUGAAGAAUCUUUCACAGAACACAUAACAGAAAUGGAGUCAAACGAUGACCUAAUCUGGCCAGAAAACUAAGCAUCAGAAAUUUACCUGUGAAUUUUUUAUGUAGUCAUGGGCUAGUUUAAGAGUAGGACAGAACUCUUCUGUGAGUUCCGUAGCCAGUAUAGCUUCAACUGUAAAAGCUGUGUCCCAAAGCUGGCUGCCAUUAUAACCCUACGGUGACAGGACCAUUUCACUGGUAUUAUAUUAGCAUAGCAAGCCAAAAGAAAAGAUUAACUAUAUCUUAGUAUCUCUCCAGAUUACAGAAUAGUGUUACGUAUGUUUGAAGACGGUAUGCCCGGACCAAAUUACUAAAUGACAAAAAUAGACACUGUGCUAACUGAAAAUGUAGAGUAACUCGCAGUGCUAUUUAACUAAAGUUAAGUGCACAUGUGAAGCUAUGGGGUCCAUGACAACAUAAAGAAUAACCUGCAUCUUCAUGCCAUCUUCAGCAACCCACAAAUAAUCAUAGAUCCUUGGAAUAUGAAGUUUGAAUUCCUCUGAGUUAGGAUCUUCUAUCCAGCAACAAAGCAUAUUCAGUACCUGCACAGUUUUUCUUUUUUCAUUUUUCACAAUAAUCAACUGAAAACAGGAAUGUCAAAAGAAAAAAGGAACAAAAAUAAAUAACCGCAUGCCUUUUUUUUCAGAAACCAGCAUGAUUUUAAAUAUACCUUCCCUACAGCACCACUGCAAACAUAUUGGGUGUUCUCAUCUUCGUAAUGAAUAUGUUGCAUGGCAUUUUUCAAAGCUUUCUCCCUCAAUUUGCUUCCAGGCCAAUGUGACAGAACUGGUUCAACAAAUUUGUGAAGAGUGGUCCAUAAGAUAUCUUGUCCCAGUGGAUGAGGACAGUACAGAUCCUCCUACAGUAAGUUAUAAUAAAAUCUGUCAAGCAAUAUUUUAUUAUUAUAUUCCGCAUGGAGAUCUCUACCUAAAGUAAUAAAUAAAAAUGUGUGAUACUGACACAGGAGCCAUGUCCGUUUACAGAUCAAAAACCAUGCAGAGCAGAAACUUCUCAAUAGCAUAAUAACAUGAAGUUACUUUAUGUUGUUACUGGUUUGGCACAUGCACGACGAAACAAGUUCCAACAAACCUUAGCACAUUGGUUGCGAGCCUUGUCCCAAUCAAUCUCAUCAUAGGGUACUUUAUAGAGCUCCUUCCGUAAGUUCAAUACAGUUGGUGUAAUUGGGCCGACAAACCUCUUUCCAUAUAUGUAAGACAUGGGAAAGUAUACCAUUCGGCAAUGGGACCACAUGCGCCCUGUGUGCGACGCAGAACAUUUUAGCAAAGAUAAUAAGGUAAGAAAUUACGAUAAUAUAUACUCCCUCCGUCCCAAAAUAAGUGUCUUUAAUUUAGUACUCCCUCCGUCCCAAAAUUUAGUACAAAGUUGAGUCACUUAUUUUGGGACGGAGGGAGUACAACUUUAGAUUAUGAUAAUAUAUAACCCCUCCGUCCGAAAAUAAGUGUCUUUAAUUUAGUACAACAUUGUACUAAAGUUGUACUAAAUCAAAGACACUUAUUUUGGGACGGAGGGAGUACUAUAAUAAAAUUAUUGCCUUCUGAUAAAGUUUGUGAUGAUAGAAAAUGAUUUUUGUUCUGCUGCAAAAAAGAAAAAUGGUUUUGUUGCCAAUCUGUCAAAUAAACUUUCCCAGGGUCAGCUGCAUGAGAACCAUACUUGCAGUAUAUUCUACUGAUCAUCUGCACUAACAGUCAAACAAGCAUUCCAUGCAGUUUAUAUGAUAAAUUUUGCCAGUGUUGAGUUAUUAGUCAUUAUGAUAAAAUUUCUAGAUAACUAAAUACAAGCCAAAAGAGAAAGCGAAAAGGUAUUUAAGGGGGAAACAAACCUGGAUGAAAUGGGAGGCAGUAUGGAAGUAACCAUAGUUCUGGAAGCAAUGGAUUGUUACCAGACCAGUCAAAUACACCAAGAACCUUAAGAAAGUAGAGACAUCAGAAGAACUCUCUGGGUUUGAAACAAGUACACUUGUAAUAACAAGACCAAAGCAGAUAACAGAAAAGAAAACAAUGCAUAACCUCCGUACCGAAAGCCAAAACUUUCCCCAUGAUGUUGUAAAGGUUGCUCCUCCAUGAUCCAAAAUCCAAUUCUGAGCUAACUGAAUGGCUCCAUCUUCACUAUCUGAUCCUUCUCCAAGUAAUCUCAAGGUAACAUAGUUCAGGACAGAACCGAACAUGGUGCUUGGGCCCUCAAUGUGCAAUCCCCAGCCUCCAUCUUUGUUCUGCGCUUAAAUUCACGGAAAAUUUCCCUUUCUUUGAAAAGCAUAAACAAAAAUAGUAAUGGCAUAUACAUUAGGGUAGUAGUGAGAUGUAAUGUGGACAUAAGGAAUGAGAUGAAACACACAGCAUGUGGAUUGCAAAGCCAGAUUUUGUUUGCGUAAAAAUAUCAUAGUUAAGAAGGUUUUGUUAAGAUGAAUAUUUCCUUGCCUGAUGAUUGUAGAGAUACCGACGUAUCUCCUUCUGAUGCUCUGACGAUAAGACAGUAUUUAGAGCACCAGUCGAAUGCAGCGCUAUUACCUGAAUAAAAAUAGGGUGAGGAAACCAAAUGGCUCACUUCUCUCAUACAGAAGUACAACAAAACAAAGGAUAACGUAGAAUGAGAUGCCACAAUAUCUGCAAUGCUGAAACCAAGUGAGAAAAGUGACGCUCAGCUGGUAACCGAUACAGAUCUUUCACACCUUUCUAAACAGGAAUGCAGGAGCUCUAACAGAUCAAUAGAGGAAGGCAAAAGUUUACUGAAGCGUCAAGACCAAAAGGAAGUCACUGAAGGCGGUAACUGCAAAAUAAGCAGCAACUAACUGAGCAAGAAGGCUUAGGCACUAGUUCUCCAAGAAUUAUGAAGAAUGAUACUAACAGAGGAUACUGUCUUCGAAGAGCCAUUUGGCACAGUUCUAUAUUUUCUAAGAGUUUGGGAGCAACUUGUUCGGAAGUUAGCUGAUAUAUACGAUGAGAUAUGCUAGUGCAAGAACACAUGAGAAGGCUAUAACUAAGGAAUCUUAACCAGUUCACUGUUGUAUAUGAGCGAAAGGAACUACCAAGCCCGGCAGAAGGAACAUAGGACCGGCGAUAUCCCCAGGCCAGUGUCCAUCAUGUGCUUGGAGAGCAGACAACUGUCCAAUUGCCCUCUUUAAAGAGGUCAAAACAGCUUCUUCGGUGACAUCUUCAUGCUCUUGGAGCUUGAUACCAGGAACGUCCAGCUUGGGAGCACCCAACUCGGCGAACUGCAAAAGGUGCAAGUGUUUUGCAAUGACAUGUGAGUUAGUUAAAGACAAAAUCAACUCCAUGAAACUAACUGGCGAAAAUGGCCUUCAGCGAGAAAUGCAUGUACAAAUUCGCAUAAAUUUUCAAUAAUCUCAGUAGGAAUGUCGUGUUCAACAUAUCGCAUUUUCCUUUUCUUCAUAUAUGGCAAAACACAUCGAAAUGCAACCCUAAUUCUCUGCAUGCCCUUCCACGGUACUAAAAAAUAUUGGAUUAAAAACACUUUUGCAUCCUAUUUUGACGGAAUUAGCAAGCCUACGAUUCAUUUGACUUGCAUCUCCUAGUUUAUUCCAACUGUGCUGAGACGGCAGAUUGGCAUUCCAGAGGAUAAGUAGACAAGCUGAGACGGCAAAUUGCAAGGAGGGUUAGUAGGUGGUUACGCGCUGGUGAGACAGGGCCCAGAAUCCGUGGAGGGGACCGUCCGCUGCGAGCACGUAGAGCCUUCUCCGGGGUUCGUCAUCUCGCCGCCGCCGUGGGAGUGCAGAGCCGCGGCGGCUCCGGCAGAGCCGCAGCGGAACGGAGGUACAGAAAUGGGCCGUGGGUUCCCCUCUAAUCCGAAUUGAUUCUACUCUCGUCCAUGGCCGGCCCAGUCGGGCGCCUUGCGUUCCGCUGCGUGGUUUCCGUUGCCCCUGAAAAAAAAAAAUUACCGAGUUCCAGCGAUUUUUUUUAGAGGAAGUACACAAAUGGUUGCUCCAUAAGACAAACAAAGGGACAGCUGUCCUAGAGCUUUGCACAAAGGACCCCAAUAAAAAAGGAUUCGCAAUUUGACCCAUCAAGAUCCCUGUGCAAAUCUAAUCCCUUAAGCAUUGUCGGACUUCAUCGUCACCGUGGCAACACCGGAGAUGGACGAUAGCAGCCAUCACUCACGAAUCUAGAAGAACUCCAAUGCAAACCAUGCUGCUAGGUGAAUCGAUUGAGGCAUGUGGCUCGUCGACCGGGGAUCAUCCUCGAUCCCGUCAGACCCCGCCACCGUCGCCUUCAUCCACUUAGGUCGACUUUUAUUCCUUCAGGUUUUCUGUUUAUUCAAUAAUUUCCAGGUUUCAGUCAGUUUUAUUUAGUUUUUCUAUUUCAAAAAACAAUAGAAUGGAACAAAAUGUUCAUGUCAUUUAAAAGUUGUUUAUAUUUUCUAAUAGCAGUGUAAUUUUAGGAAUAACUUAAACCUUUUUUAAAACAUUCAUGCUAUUUAAAAUGUACACCUAUUUUAAAAAUGUGCAUGUAAUAUAAAAAGUAUUCACAUCUUUAAAAAUGUUUAUGUAAUUUAAAAUUGUUCAUGUACUUAUAAUUUGAUGGGUCACGUGGACUCUAUUGAUUUGACGCAGUAUUCCCUUACAUUACAAAAUUUAAUUGUUUUUAUUCCAUUAUUAUAUGCAUGUCUGUUAUUCGAGAUAGUGAAAAGUCUAUUGAGAAUCGAUUUUAAAAUUCAACUGAUCUUUUUAAAUUUUGGUAAUGAGGGAAGGUGAUGUUCUAGAAACAUGCAAUUUUCUCUGUUACAAUUUUUUUGUUUGCUGCUACUCAUUGUUGAUUUUUUAAUUUUUCUAUAGUUCACAAAGAUUUCGAGUAAAAACUUAAAAUUCCAUGUUUUGUUAGAAUUCCAUCCUUGCAACAUACUUUAUUUUAGAAUAUUUUUAUGUUGUUUUCACUUUAUUUUACCGUAAGUUGGUUUCAAGAAAUAUUCCCUCCCAUCUCGUCCACUAAUUAAUCUUUCAAUGAUGGUAUCACCGCAACAAUGAUUACACUGCCACAAAAUUUCCCGUCUUUAUUUUUUCCUUUUCUUUCCAUUAUUUUAUGGUCCCAUCUUUUAAUCACGAUGUUGUCUAUUUUGUUUAUAAAUCACAUGUAUUUAUUUGUCUUCAUUUUUUAUGUUUGAUUGUGCCCUCUUGUCUUCCAUUUUUAAUUGUUCUCUUAGAUGUUGUCUCCAUCACCAUCCUUAAUGACAACCUCUGAGGCCUUGGACAGUGUAAAGGUAAGCUCCUCUGGCACCUCUAGCCCCGUCAGAUAUAGUCAUCCAUGUCCACGCCAUUUGCCGAGCAUGAUGCCUCGACUGCUAUAGAUGGUUGUGACCAUGUCAUUGCGUUGGACGAAGUUGAUGACACAUGGUAACUCCAAAUGCAUGGUGAGGACGUCAACUUCAUGCUCGGUGAUGAUAUCUACAAAGACGGUGAUUGCCUGCAUGGAUGAUGAUGACAUUGGCAUCACGGCUAGACACGCGGAUGACCCGGGGCUGGCCCUUUUUCUUUGUCCUUGUUGUAUUGCCACCGAGGGAUGUUAGAGAGCUCCUAUUUAAUGCUCUCUGCAUCAAAACUUCCAGAGAAACACACAUUGUGCUCGCCUUCAUGGGUCAUCCUAGUAACCUGAUAUGCUUUGUCACCAACCACCACUCCUCUAGUUCCUAGCAAUUUCUUCUUCUUGUGUUUUUUCCUUUGGUCUUUCAAGNNNNNNNNNNNNNNNNNNNNNNNNNNNNNNNNNNNNNNNNNNNNNNNNNNNNNNNNNNNNNNNNNNNNNNNNNNNNNNNNNNNNNNNNNNNNNNNNNNNNNNNNNNNNNNNNNNNNNNNNNNNNNNNNNNNNNNNNNNNNNNNNNNNNNNNNNNNNNNNNNNNNNNNNNNNNNNNNNNNNNNNNNNNNNNNNNNNNNNNNNNNNNNNNNNNNNNNNNNNNNNNNNNNNNNNNNNNNNNNNNNNNNNNNNNNNNNNNNNNNNNNNNNNNNNNNNNNNNNNNNNNNNNNNNNNNNNNNNNNNNNNNNNNNNNNNNNNNNNNNNNNNNNNNNNNNNNNNNNNNNNNNNNNNNNNNNNNNNNNNUUCAUGAUUUUUUUUUAAAAAUCAUGAGUUCCAUAAAAUGUUUGCAAAUAAAAAAUUGUGAUUUUUUAAAUGAUAAAAUUUGAAAAAUAAAUAAAUAAAAUAUAAGUGUUCACAAAUUUAACUUUUUUUGUUGUUUUUUUAUCAUAAAUUUAGAAGUUGCUCACGAGUUUUAGAAAACUUCUUAAAUAUUUAUAAAAUUUGACUAAUUAAUAAAAUAUUAACAGAUUUAAAAAAUAUAUUUGAAUUUAAUAAGGAAAUAAAAAGAAAAAACCGGAAGAAAACUAGUGGAAGAAAACAAAAGGGAAAAUACAGAAAGAAAAAUCGCAAGAGCACAAAGAAAACUGCAUCAAGACCUUGUUGUCUUGUAAGGCUGUCCAUGACCGUCUCCAUGUGCCUUUGCUGGCAAUUUGUUACAACGGGCGUCAUAUAGGGAAUUCCGGGAUGCAAGGCCUUGGUGGCUCUUUCAGCGCCGAUGACAUCCAUUACAACAACUUACUCCUUGGUAGCUCUUCUUUUUAAUCACCUUGGGAGCUCUUAUUCCACACUAAAAUUGUGGGAGUGCUGCUAUAACGUUUAGAUAGGUCGGGCCGCGAAGCUCUCGCUCGCUCAGCUUACCUCCUUGCUCCACUCGCUUUAGGUUUUUUUCUGCUCACUCACCGCUAGCUCAUAAAAAGCCGGCUACCUUUUUUUAUCUGAAAAAGUUUGUUAAAUCAAAAAAUGUUCAAGAUUUAGAAAAUGGCCUUGGAUUUUGAUAAUUUUGUAAAUUAAAAAUAUAUUUGUAGAUUAAAAAAAUGUUCAUAAAUUCGAAAUAAGAUUGAAAAUUGAAGAAAUUAUCAUGAAAUUAAAAUAUAUUCUUAAAGUUUAAAUAUAUUCAUGAAUUUAACACCUUACAGAAAGGCCCAGCGUUCCCACAACCCCAUGCACCAGGAGACUCCAAAUCUAGGGAGCUUACUAUUUAUAAUGUGUAUAUUUGAUCAAACUUAAAAAUAGUUAAUCUUUUUUAAAUGAAUUUAUACGCCAUCUGUUGGGAACAGAGGGAGUACUGUAGUUGGCCUUCCAAGCAACCAUGCGAGCAUAUUCACGUUGACAAAACUUACGUCCGUGCAUGCAUGUGUCUCAAAAAAGCGUAAAAUGGAAAUCACGAGCGAGCUAGCUGACGACGUGGAAUGGAGUAAAAGUAGGACGGACCUGCAAUCGCAUGAGGCGGUCGGCGCUGUGCUUGAGCUGGUGCCGGCGGCCGGAGUACUCGCGGCGCGCGUCGUCGACGCCGUCCAGGGCGCCGCCGCCGGCAGCGGGGUCGAACUCCCAGACCUGGCGGCCGGCGUGCGCGUUGGUGGUGCGCAGCCACGGCUCGCCGCCGGCCUCCUCUCCGAUCCUUAGCCGCCACAUCGAUCAACGUCGACUCAAACCAGUGGCUGGCUGUUCUUCUUAAUUUUUCUUCACAGCGGGGCAAGUGAGUGAGAGGAGAGAAAGAUAUCGAAACACCCCGUGUUUAAAUAGGAGAGCGAGAUGUCAUUUCCACUGCAAAACCAUUACCACAAGGGUUACUAGAAAGGACAACAGUCAUCUCAAAAAAAGAGAAGAAAAAGAAAGCACAGAGCCACAGACAGUAACUGAAGGAUAAGGAAGCGUCCGCAAGCAUUACGGAACUUAAGCUCCUGCACGUGGUGAACGAGCUACAUCAUGCGGCAAAAGGUGUCUUGUCAAAUCGGUCGUUGUCAUCGAGCCUGCGUGCUCGUUUGUUCUUUCUUUUGUUGUAUGUGGCCUUCAGCACGUUUUACUUUUUUCGUUGUAAUAUUUUGUUACCUACUCCCUUCGUUUCAUAAUAUAAGACUUUUUCAAGCUACAUUAGCCUAUAAUUUUUUUCUAGCCACUGGCUCUGCAAAAAAGAUCUGACCCGCGUCGCUCCCGGUUGGCACCGGCGGUGGACUGGCUGCGCCGCGGCCGACCGCGUCUACCCUUCUUUUCCUCUCGUCACCGGAGGAGGCUGUCGGCCGAAGGCCGCACGGCGGAAGGUGCCGACAGGAUUUCUCCCGGUGGUCUGGUGGCCGCUAGUGCAAUCCGCACGUGGGAUAGUGGCUCCAGUGGCGGACCUUAGAAUGCCAGCCUCGGGUUGCCACAGUUCAAAAUUCACACUAAAUAUUAUCAUAAUGUCAGCAAAUAGGUCUAAAAUUGCAUCAACUUCAUAGAUAUUUAGUGUUACGCACAUAGUAAAAUUUUGCAAUUUUGGAGGGGGUGCCAUGGCACCCAGGGCACUUCCACUAGAUCCGCCGCUGAGUGGAUCCCCGGUUGUUGUGUCCGAUGGAGUUGGCACCUUAGCUGCAUCCCGUGGAGCCACUAGACCUGGUGGGUUUGGAGAGGUCGUGCACUGGCUUCGAUCCGGCGUGGGCCGGAGGUCAGUUGUGAGUUGUGACCGUUGUGUGCUUCUGAUCUAGCGGCGCAUGCACGGAGACCGAGAAGACGUAGCACGGACGGCGCUAGAACAACUUCAUUGCUGGCUCCAGUGACCGGCCGCGUUCGCUCUGGGCCGGCAUGAAUGCGGCGCGAAGGGUGGAGGUACGGUCGCUUGGGAAGAUGGUUUUAGGUGAGACCAGGUUGUUAGAUGCGUAUGUGGCGGCGGUCCGGAGGUCCGCAAACCUCCCCCUGGUUUGUGUCAGUUUUGUGAAAAUUGGGAUGCCCGGACGUGUCCGCAGAUAAUAGGGGUUCGUGUUGAAUAGCAACUACGUUCAAACAACUCGGUUUGGAUGUGUGCGGGCUAUUUGAGGGUUUGCUUGGAGAUGUUUUUUAAGAAGGAGGUUAAACCUCCGGCCUCUGCAUUAAUUGAUGCAUGUAGCCAUCUUUAUUAAUUAUUCCACAAAGGACGGACAAAAACAUACAUCAAUCCAUCCGAAGCCAUCACUCACACCUACAGACUCGAUAAUGUGGAGUGCUCUCACUCCUCCUAUCUAAAACUGGUGUCGUCGCCGAUCCAUCCACAUAACGUAUCGGGGCCAACAUCCGGUGCAGGCGUGCAGCCUACCUAAAGCGCACACCACAUGCACACGUUUUAGGAGCUGCCAUCAUCAUCGGCACUGAUCCAUCUUCAGGAGGGAGAUCCACAUCAUCCUUGUCAAUCCGGACAUCUGUUGACACCACCACAGCGCCCAACGGCACCCCCGCACUGCGCUCGUCCGUCCAGACGCAAAGACUCUGGAAGAUCUGUCGUGCGUAGCACCUGCCGACCAGGCAUGACUCAACAUAGCACAUAUCGGCCAGGCAUGACCUGACAGCUCCACCGAAGCUCCGUGCAAGACGAAGCCGCUCCACCUCCUGCCUCUGUCUUCCAGCGCUGCUCCACAAAUGAUGCUCCCAAGAGAGGAACAACACCGUAGUACCGCCAUCGCCUGAUCUGGAAGACCAGAUCCUAGGGUUUCCCCCGAAGCAGCACGACUGGGUCGACAACAGUUACACGACGAUGCCUUCGUUAAGGUAACGACACAAAACGCCGCCAUCGCCCGCCAAUAGCUCGGUUUCCACCGGCAACUAUGUCUCCCCGACUCGUAGCCGGGGCUAGAUGACGAAUCUCGAGAGCCGACCACCCAGCCGCAGGCCGACCACCUCUGGAGGAAGAGAUGACCACCACCGCCGACUGCACCGGCCAGAACAGAUCUGACUGGAGGUGCCGCCGACGCUACCACCAGGCCCUCCAUGCCGCCGCCGCCGAUCCAAAGGCUAAUGGUGCGCCGCCGCCGCCGCCCGAACAGGGCUUGCCGCCGUGCCCGCAGCCUGCGCCGCCUCCAACUCCGUCGCGCCGUAGCCAUCGCCGUCGUGCCGAUCGGAUCGGGCACUACAACAAACACAUACCUAUAGCAACGCAAAUCUAGCAACGAUGAUGGAAUGUGUUGUUGGGUUCAGCCUUCCACGUCCCCACGAAGGGCUAACUUCCCACGCGCCUCCCCACCUUAUUCUCUGCACCUCGUUGCAACCUUGUAAAAAAGAAUCAAAUCUUUUCUCUCCACCACGCCUCUCUCCGCCGAUUCCUCUCUCUCACACACCACAACGUGCCGCCGCCACCUCUGAUUCGGGGCAACUCCGGCGCACUCCCACACCGUUGUUUACCGGCCUGCCCCCCUAAUCCCCUCAAUGUUCUGCACCGAUCCUCCGCCGCGGCAACGUUCUCCGUGCCUCAGCACGUGCCCCUGCAACAACCCUCUUCGGCACAGGUCGCCGGCGUGGCUCCGCAGCUACGGUAUGUCAGCCGACUACCCCUGCAACUCAUCACAUCCGCCAUUAACGCCCCCAUAUCCUACGUCCUCUCUGUUUUCUCUCUCCGUUCCCAUCUCUUAUAGGCACACUCUGGAACAAAUAUGCAACCUAACCCUAGAUUGGUGACUGCCUUGUCCGAUUAUGUGAGCAUCUAGCCCGGUCCGAUGGUAACCAACAGAUUUGUGAUGUUCGUGUUGGUAGUCUUCCAACAGCGGCCAGUCGGAGAACUAGGAUCCUGACCGAGGAGGACCUGGUGGAUCUUAACGCUGCCUCAACAUUAGCUUCAGGCAUACCAUGUUAUUUCCAAGCUCUAUGAAUCUCAGGCAUGUCAUGACGUGGAGGUUAGUAGCAUACUUACUUGUCCCCCGGUAAGAGUUGUGUCCACUGUAUCUAAUUAUUUGUUCCACCAGUAUAUAACGUUAUGUGAUUCAGUUAGUUUCUCAGGCUCUACAUAUUUGCAGUAAGCGUGAUUGUGUUAUGGAUUGUGACUCUGUGCCUUUAAUAUUCGUAUCCAAUUUUGCUUUUGUUGAUGCAACUUCUAUGUGUAUCUAUUAUGAAAUUGUCCUACAGAUCAGUUUUCAAACUAUUGACAAUAGAUGUGUGUAUAUAAGCCGAUUGUGUUAAAAUAUUAAUCUUGCUAUGGCUGAUUGUGUGAGGGAUUAACGUGCUUUAGUGCAGUUUGAUUUCAAUUUCUCAGAGCUUCAGGGGCAGAUGGAUGUGUAAUGGUCAGUGUUUUGCUACACUCGUGGUCAAGGCCAACUCUCGGCGACGUCCUCCACCACCAGGAUCCCCUAAUGAUGGUCUGCAUAAUCCUUCUUUGGGUCUGUUCAGCCGUUUGCACAAUAAUAAUAACAGUAAUAAUAAUAUGAUUACCUUGGAGUAUUUGAUUGUAUUUUCUGUAGAGGUUUUGAUACAAAAGCCUGAUUUUCUGGUAGCUGUGGUUCAUUCCAUACUUUAGAUCACAUAGAAGACUAGCAUUUCAUCCCAAUGAUUGACCAACUAUAUUGAGUUAAGCAUAUCUGUUGGAAGUGCGCCCACAGGAUCGAUCACAUCAAAGUAGACAAAGAACACGCGCAUGAAAAACUGAUGGCCAAGGGCUCGUAUUGUGCCCUGUUUUUCUUUAUUUCUUCUGUUUUCUCCACGAUUACAAAACUCACGGCUGUACCCACGUAUAUAUAUAUACACAAGUGCCACCGACCAACUAGACCAAGUCCUACACAGACACCUAUCACUUUCCUAAUCUAAUUACACGGCGACCUUGAUCUUUUACUUAAACCUUAAGUCCUAAACUGACUCGUAAACGUACUGGGCCAUGCCAUGCAAAAUCAACUCCAACACGUACUCUUAAACGUACGGCAGCUAGCUUUUGCAAAAUUUGCACCACAUGAAAACUAACUUGAACUCAUUAAACUAACUCAAGAUUAUUUCUAACAAUAUCUUCAUAAAGCAUAGGUUUUUUUUACUACUGUUUAGUUUUCCCAUUUGUUUCAUAUACAUCCAUGAUUCAUAUGAUGUUCUACCAUGCACUGAAAAGUUAUUUAGACAUGGUAAUAUUAUGCUUUUCGCAAUCACCAGAAAUUAAAAAGAACUACAAGAGAUUUUUGUGUGAGCUUGAGUGCUUCAUGUCAUGACGUGGAAUUUUUUUUUGUAUAUGCUAUACAAGUCCUCCCAUUGGAUUCGAUAAAGAGUCCUCAUAUCACCAUCGGCACUGCAAUCUAUAUAAGUCCGAUCAAGUCUGUAAGUGGUUGACCAUUUAUUUUGUAUUAUUGGAAGAAAUAUACGUAGCAUUCUGUUUUGUUUACUUGGGAUAUCUUUAUGGCGCAAUUAAGUAAUAAUUAACGGAGAGUCUAAAACAUUAAUGGUCUACAUGACAGAUCUAGUAGCAAAUUUACAUUUCAAUUCGCUAUGACUUGUGUGCCAAUUUUUUAACUGAAUUGUAUGUCAAAAUUUUCAUUUUCAAACAACAACUGCUAACUGCUACUGCUACAGAAUUCUGUAUCAUAUUGUGGUUCGAUUAAGUUCAUAUAUAUCACUUGAUUCGUUUUAGUCGACUAUUAUUUGUUUCUUCUAUGUUGUUCCUGAUCUCAUAAUGCACGACAAACAACCUAGUUUUCUUUUGAGCCAUCUUCUUUCGCUAUUGUUUCUAUUCAUUUUGCGUACCUGAGUGCAAAAAACUUCAGAAUAAGCUAUUCAUUGCCAUCAUCACGUAUUUUAUUUUGUAAUUUUUUCUUGCAUUUGUUCACAAUUGGACGCAGACAUACAUUAUGACAACUUACGCAGAAGAAAAAGGAACCAUCACUCGCAAGCUAGGUAAAAUUUGUUCUUUUGCUUUCAAUGUGUUUCUUCAACGAGAAUGGUUUGGCUAUUGAGUUGUCAUAUAUAUUGUUUCUUUUGAAAUACUUAAACAUGGUAACUUAUCAGAUGGUGAUUGUUAGGUUGCACUACUUAUUUUUUCUAUCUGAUACAAUACAGAAUGGAAGCUAGAAAACAGCAAUUGUGUUUUGUGGCCUUUCAUAACACAAGCUGUGUGUGCAGCUGCAAGCCUGCAACUCUUUUGUUGUUCGAUCAAGGGAGAAGAACUGGGACAUACAUUUGUGGUGUCACCCAUCGAAAAUGUGGUAGGAGCUGGUGUUUGACGGUGCAGUGGGACGGCUGAGAGGAUUUUUUUAUGAGUAGUUUGGAGCUUGCAAGAGCAAAAUUGAUGGCGGUAGGUGCUGCAAGGUGGAUAUCGGAAGGUGGCGACGGACAAGGAGAGGACGCUACAUGUUGCUCAAUGGGGCUCCUCCUAGAUAGUUCCACAUUAUGUUCUUGAAUGUCAUUUUUAGGUUCAAUGUUCAAGACAUUAUGAUUUAGCAUAGUUGCGACAUUAAUUGUAAGGUUGAGAAUUGGGCUACUAGAUAGUUGUACAUUUUGUAAUGCUUGGAUUGUGUUCUUUGUAAUGCAACAUAGUCAAUUUAAUAUAUGAGACCUCUCUGUUUACUAUAUUAUGGCUCCUAUGCACCAUAGGCAUCGGCUAAUAAUUUUGGAUGCCUAUAUAUAAAAUACCAUUAAUUGUUCAUGAUAUGUAGCAAAAAUCAUUUUGUGUAGGGCAGCCACCACCGCAUAUGAAGUGUUGUUUGGCUGCAUAUCUAUACGUUGCUAUCUUACAACGCUUAUUUAGGCCGUUUACCAACGCAUGUAUAUACGUUGUUGUAGACCCUCGCAACGCCACCAAUGACAACGCAUAUUAAUCCGUUGGUGUAGACCUUAGCAACACUUAUAUGGACAUACGACAACGCAUUGAUGCGUUGCUGAAGGGGGGUUCUUGUUGUAGUGGGGCGCGCCUCCAUACGAACUGGGCCCCGCACAACCCCAGAGACGCGGGAGAGAGGUGAUGUCCUCCGCCAUCGCCGUCGGCCCCUGGGUUUAGACCGGCAGCAUCCCCCGACGGCGGCGGAGGGAGGGGAGGGGGGAGUGCGGGCUGGCGGCGGCUAGGUUUUUGGGCACCGCCGGAGUCGCCCUAGCGGGGGGCGACGCGAGGGCCUCUACCAGCCAGUCUAGGUGUUCCCUAUAAGUGAGAUAGAGUCCUGGGUCUGCUUGGAGAUGCCCUUACAUACAAUAUUUUCAUUUGAACUGUUUGCAACACAUUUCUUUUUGUAGCUCAUUUAUAUUUCUUAUUUAGGUUGCUUAUAUUUCUGUAUUCACAUAUUUACCGUAUAAGGUUUGAAAGAUAGAGGCCAUUAGGUGCACAUUUAGGAUUAUUGAGAAAAAAAAAUCAGUAUGCACCAUGCAAGAUGCAAAUACUUAGCAUUUUUGUUGCAUUGCUGGUAUAUAGUUUAAAAUACAGAGAAAGUUAUUGCCAACAUGAAUAUUGAGAAAACGUUAUUGUACUUUUAGGUGAAUGGUAAGGAUCUUAGUGUGUGGCAAUGGAAAACUAGUAAUAUUAUCGGCACGUCAUACAAAACGAUAGAGUCCACAUACUGCUUUCUAGCAUUAUCUCUUCCCCUUCUCCUUUUUUUUUGUGGCAUCUCUUCCCCUUCUCCUUUUUUUUGUGGCAUCUCUUCCCCUUCUCCUUGUCCACUGGCGUCUUCCAUCAGUAACAAAAGAUGUAAAAAUUUAUGUGAUCCAUUUAAGUGUCGUGGACUCUUCUUCCACUCGGCUCAUCAAUGCCCGUAUUGCAAUUUCAUUUUUAGAUUUUUGCAAUGUCAUGCCUCUAUCAUUUGUUCAUUUUCUAAUUACCUUUUCUUCUAGUUACCUCUAUCAUUUGGUCAUCUCGGGCAUUAUAAAUACCAUUGUAUAUUCAUAGAAAAUUUGCUAAAACAUUCUCUUGCACUCACUUUUUCAUAGCUCGUUCAUCGAAAAUGACUUAAACUUGACAUAUUUUAUGCUUACAAACCUUUAAGAUAAAUUUCAAACACAUGAACCAAAAAUACAUAGUAGGUACAGUACAUGGUUGGAAUCAUAGGUUUUGGAUGUUUAUUCUAUUUUCCAUCUGCAUUCAAUUGUACUUUCAAGUUAACAUAACUGACAUGAAGCUUACCGCACUCUCUGAACUGAUAGCUGUGUCAUUUCAACAGUUCAUCAUGUAAGUUUUGUUUACAAACAUACGACCAUACACAUCGUCCUUAUUUUUGCAAUCCGAGGGCCUGAUUGCUAGAUCACAUUAUUUUCCAUGAUGUAUCGUCUGGAGGAGCUCUAGAUCACCUACUGUUACUGUACAAACCUCUAACUAAUCACAUUCUUGCUUCUCUGUAGAUUCAUGUCGAACAAUUAGCCACAACCUUUGAUGUGAAAUUGAUCCUCCUUGGAAGAGCUGUCAGCCUGUUGCAUCAUCUUAGUACGGAUCUGAUGCUGACGUUUAGCAGAAAUUGUGACUGGCACAAUUUGAGACUAGUUUUUUUAGAGAAAAUCUAAGACUAGCUUUCUGUCCAGAAUAGACUAGGUGAUGGAUUACCUUCUUGUCAUAUUCUGGCAUGAUUGAGUUGCUCAGCACAAAUUGCUGAUAGUCUUUUGUUUCUUUUUAUGGGGAAGUUGUUGAUAAUGUUACCGAUGCAUGCAAGCAGAGUCAGAAAAAUUACGAAAACACUAACGCCCACACGUGUGGGUGUUUGCAUUUCGCCCACACACGUGGAUCCGCAUCCGUUUGUGAGCGCACGAAUCUUGGCAUGUUUCUAGUGCCACGUAGGACUGGGCUGGUGUGUGGGCAUUCACCCGGUCGCCCACACGGCCGUUUCACCACACGGGAGGGGCUGGUGUGUGGGCGUUCAGCAGUUCGCCCACACGCCACUUUCCACUCACGCACAAGGGCUGGUGUGUGGGCAUUUGCCAUCUCGCCCACACGCCCGUCUCAUCUCCCACACCCAAGUUGCCACUUGCCAUGUGUUUUGCAGUGUACAUGGCAACUGCCCUAGUGUGCUUUAUAAGCAGGUGGCAACUCUCUCUUUUUUUUACCCGAACAUGUCAGUUGCCAUGUAUUUUGCAGGGUACACGGCAACUGCCCUAGUGUGCUUCUAAGCAGAUGGCAACUCUCUCUUUUUUACCCGAACAUGUUGUUUUUGCCAUGUCUUUUUAUAGCUCUACACGGCAACCGCCUAGUGUUACUAGGUGGCAACUCCUAAGGUUUUCAAAUCAUGGCAACUGUAGUAAACCAGACCAUACAUGGCAACUGCCUAGUGUUAGUAGGUGGCAAACCCCUAAAGUUUUCAAAUCAUGGCAACUAUAGUAAACCAGACCAUACAUGGCAACCGCCGCAGUUGCCCAAAAAUGGCAUCUGGAACUUUUGACAUGAGAUGGCAACUGCAGUUGAGCAACCAUGGCAACUGUAGUUGUCCGGCAUGGCAACCGUAGUCCAGCGACAUGGCAACUGCAGUUAAACGAACAUGGACGAGGGUCUGGACCAUGGCAACUGCGGGCGCGCGGUGACUGUCACGCGGGGCGUGCGGGACCACGAGGUACGAGGCCUGACGUACGAGGCGUGUGGGCGUUAUCUAUUUCGCCCACACGCACGCGUGUAAGAGGGAUUGGGAGGGAAAAAAGAGGUGUGUGGGCAUUACUUGUUUUGCCCACACGUAGGUGUGUGGGCUGUUCCUCUUAUGCACCACACAAAAUAUGUGGGCAGACUCCCUAACACCCACACGUGUGGCACUUAUCGGCGUCCAAAAAUUAAAAGAACCUGACUGAUGGGCUAAGUAGAAAACUUCUUCCACGAGCAGCAGGAGGCGAAAGGGCUAGGUAUUGAUUUGGAGCGACAUUCUCCAAGGUCUCGGGUUACCGAAAAUCUCGCUGCCUCCCGGUUUUUUUGAAUGAUUUGAAUUUAAACGUACAAAUAGUGUCAAAUAGUAUCCGUAUGACCGUAGCCUGGUGUGAAUCUGCAUAUAUCAUACCUCUCCCUUCUGUGAAGCAACCCAGUGGGUGCUGCCAACCUCCAGCCAAGUUCCC